rnacentral:lncRNA from 1 species
CUGCUGGAGCCUUUCUCCAAUAAAGGCUUGAACCUCAGUUCAGUGCCCCUUCAAGCCAGGCCAAUCAGCUUGCAAGUCUGUUUUGGAAGAGACUACUGAACACACCCCUUAGUGUGCUGGAAAAUCGCCCCUGCUGGUAACAGAGCAGCUUGUGAUGACUGUCUGGGAAGGCACCUUGUGGAAAAAAGUUCUGAAACCCAGGAGGAAGGGAAGAGGCUUGAAAACCUUGCGUCUGAGCAGGGACAAGGAUGUGUCUGUUGGCAAAGGGUAUACAGCAGCCCAGUGCACUGUUAGUGAUGGAACUCUGCAGUACAAUGAUUUGAUGAGGCCAUGAUCUUGGAAAGAUACAAAAAGAGAUGGGCUGUUUCAGGCGAAUCAUGAAGAAAUCCUGAAAUAUAAAGGUACAGUCAAGUCUGG